rnacentral:tRNA from 1 species
AUUUAAAUAGCUUAUAGAGAGAGAGUAUAAUAUUGAAGAUAUUAAGGAGAUUAAAUUAAUCUUUAAAUA